rnacentral:lncRNA from 1 species
GCCGCCGCCCACCCACGGCUCCGGCCAGGUUCUCCGCUCGCAGCGCCGGGGGUCCCGGCGGCCGCAUGAGCCGCGCGCGUGGGGCGCUGUGCCGGGCCUGCCUCGCGCUGGCCGCGGCCCUGGCCGCGCUGCUGUUACUGCCGCUGCCGCUGCCCCGCGCGCCCGCCCCGGCCCGGACCCCCGCCCCGGCCCCGCGCGCGCCCCCGUCCCGGCCCGCUGCCCCCAGCCUGCGGCCUGACGACGUCUUCAUCGCCGUCAAGACCACCCGGAAGAACCACGGGCCGCGCCUGCGGCUGCUGCUGCGCACCUGGAUCUCCCGGGCCCGCCAGCAGACGUUUAUCUUCACCGACGGGGACGACCCUGAGCUCGAGCUCCAGGGCGGUGAGUGUCCCCCACUCCCCGGCGCCCGCGGGAUCUGCCCCCCGAGCCUUUCUCGCUCCGAAGCCACGGCCCCUUCGCUGCUGUGGGUGCCUUUCUCUGCCCAGGCUCCCGAGGCCCGGGGAGGCCCCGACGCUGCCCAGGUCACGCGGCCUGCGGAGGGCCCACCCUGCCAGCCAAGCUCUGCUCCCCACCAGCCUCUCACACUAGCCGCUUCCCGGGGCGUGGGGCUAGUGCCACGUCCCCUGAAGAAGCGCCAGCAGGGAAUCCGCCCUUCCAGGCCAGGUCAGGGCGAGCUGCCUCCGUCCUGUUUCCACUCAAGAGAUCCCAACCGAUGGCCGCCUGCUUCAGCCUCGGUGGCACCAGCAGGGUCAGCGCGUGAGGGCUAGGGCUGUGGUUGGACCCAGGCAAGGUGUCCAGGCAUGUCAGACAGCCACGUUGUGCCCUGGCCCUUGGGGGCAGGUGGGGCACAGGCCUUACCCCAACCCCAGUGCCAUCCUCUACGUGCGUGCUUCCCGUCUCUGAUUCGCAGGCGACCGUGUCAUCAACACCAACUGCUCGGCGGUGCGCACUCGUCAGGCCCUCUGCUGCAAGAUGUCCGUGGAGUAUGACAAGUUCAUUGAGUCCGGGCGCAAGUGGUUUUGCCACGUGGAUGAUGACAAUUAUGUGAACGCCAGGAGCCUCCUGCACCUGCUCUCCAGCUUCUCACCCAGCCAGGACGUCUACCUGGGGCGGCCCAGCCUGGACCACCCCAUUGAGGCCACCGAGAGGGUCCAGGGUGGCAGAACUGUGAGUGUCGGAGCAGACGCCAUCGGAGCAGACGCCUUCCUUGACACCAGCCCGGGAGGCACAGCAGAGGGCGUGGAAAGCUGGCUUGAGAAGGGCAUAGGGUUGGGGGCCCAAGCUGAUCCACCCAGGUGGUUUGCAUGUGGUGUUUCAGGAGCAGGCCAGGAGGCCCUCACCGUACUGGGCAGAGAGGGGGUGUCUGGGCCAGGUGGGGAGGGUCUGGAGGCUACGGGUCAAUGGCCUGCAGAAGCCCCCGGCUCUUUUUGCUCCAAGAAGCUUCUGUUACCUGGGUGGGAUCUCCUAAGGGGCAGCUUAAGAAAGAUGCCUGGGGAGUCCCAUGAAGAGUCAGGGGUGAGAAGCCCUGUCCUGGGCAGCUCUGACCACCACCCCAUCUUCAGGUGACCACGGUCAAGUUCUGGUUUGCUACUGGUGGGGCCGGGUUCUGCCUCAGCAGAGGCCUUGCCCUCAAGAUGAGCCCAUGGGCCAGGUGAGUGGGGGUCCAGCUGCCCGGGCUGGGAGGCGGAGGCUGAGACCUGAAAGGUGCUGACCGGCCUCCCCCCAGCCUGGGCAGCUUCAUGAGCACAGCUGAGCAGGUGCGGCUGCCGGAUGACUGCACAGUUGGCUACAUCGUGGAGGGGCUCCUGGGCGCCCGCCUGCUGCACAGCCCCCUCUUCCACUCUCACCUGGAGAACCUGCAGAGGCUGCCGCCCGACACCCUGCUCCAGCAGGUUACCUUGAGCCAUGGGGGUCCUGAGAACCCACAUAACGUGGUGAACGUGGCUGGAGGCUUCAGCCUGCAUCAAGACCCCACACGGUGAGUAGGUAGUGGCAUGGGCAGGCCCUCGGCCCCGCAGGGGCUCUGGCAUCAGCUCCCUCUACCCACGGCCCUGACCCCCGCUGCUCCCUCCGCCCACGGCCCUGACCCCGGCUUCUCCCUGUACCCACGGCCCUGACCCCAGGUUCUCCCGCCGCCCACGGCCCUGGCCCCCGCUUCUCUCUCCGCCCACGGCCCUGACCCCUACUUCUUCCUUCCCCAGGUUUAAGUCUAUCCAUUGUCUUCUGUACCCAGACACGGACUGGUGUCCCAGGCAGAAACAGGGCGCCCCGACCUCUCGGUGACACCAACCACCCCGACCCAGGGCUGCCUGGCUCUGUCCCAGGCGCGGGGAACCAGAGCCCCCUAUGGGCUCAGUGGGCUCCCUCAGGUGCCACGGCCACACCAGUGAGAUGCAGGCACCUGGCAGACCCUCUGGCUAGCCUGCAGCCCCCCCUCUCCCAGCCCCUGGUGGGCUGCGGUGAUGGGUGUUUUGGGAGAACGAAGACAGCCAGGCUGAUGGCCAGGGCCGCAGUGCCCCUCCCCCCGACCCAGCCCCAAGGUUGAUCCCACGGGAACAGGCUUCCACCCCAGCACUUGCGCACCUGGGAGGGAGCUGCCAUCCGGGCUCCAUUACCUGUUGCUGAAGGCGGGUGCUAGGCUGGCUGGGUGUCAAGGAGCAGGCUCCAGGCCAAGGUCCUGGCCCAGCCACGGCCAUUGCAAGGGCUCAGCCUGGCAGGCUUUGUGGGGGACGCCGCCCUCUCUGCCGCAGGCUGGGUGCACGGCCGGGCACCACAGUGGGACUCAGGCCCGGGAAGGUCAUGUUCUCGACCAGAGCUUUGCUCCCAGUCCAGGCGCCUCAUUCGGAGGCCUCUUGACUGGGACCACAGAGAUGUUUUCUCCGCUCUGACUUGUGGCUCAGGACUACUUUCUGGGUCGUGCUCCUGCCCCACUGUGCCUGGGCCCAUAAACAACAGGAGCCUUUUGUUCCGCUGACCUGCCCAUCCCAGCAGACCCACCUCCCCGCCUGGUGCCUUCCAUGGAGGGAAAUGGGACAGGGGCCGUCAUCUCCCCUCUGCCUCCUGCUUUGCUGUUGCCGAGCACGAGUAAAGCUUUUGUUCUUACUUCA